CCUACGGGAGGCAGCAGUGGGGAAUAUUGGACAAUGGGGGGAACCCUGAUCCAGCCAUGCCGCGUGUGUGAAGAAGGCCCUCGGGUUGUAAAGCACUUUCAGUGAGGAAGAACGCCUGGUGGUUAAUACCCAUCAGGAAAGACAUCACUCACAGAAGAAGCACCGGCUAACUCCGUGCCAGCAGCCGCGGUAAUACGGAGGGUGCGAGCGUUAAUCGGAAUUACUGGGCGUAAAGCGCGCGUAGGUGGCUUGAUAAGCCGGUUGUGAAAGCCCCGGGCUCAACCUGGGAACGGCAUCCGGAACUGUCAAGCUUGAGUGCAGGAGAGGAAGGUAGAAUUCCCGGGGUAGCGGUGAAAUGCGUAGAGAUCGGGAGGAAUACCAGUGGCGAAGGCGGCCUUCUGGACUGACACUGACACUGAGGUGCGAAAGCGUGGGUAGCAAACAGGAUUAGAUACCCUAGUAGUC
rnacentral:rRNA from 1 species